rnacentral:tRNA from 1 species
GGACAUUUAGCUCAGAUGGUAGAGCAAUCGGCUCAUAACCGAUAUGUCCAGGGUUCGAUUCCCUGAGUGUCCA